GUUGAUUGCUUAAUAUAUGUUAGCAGGAUGUCAUCACCUUUGGAGAUAAAGGGUCCAAGAAAUACAACCUCACUUUCUCAAUCAGAGAACUUUGAGGAUUAUGAAGUUUCCUUUAAAUUAUGUCCGUUACUCAACCUCGAGUGGCACCUUACAGCUAGUGGGAAGUCAAGAAAGUAUAUCCUGCUCGGAAUGAAGUCAAGCGAAAUAGAUUUCCUUCAUUGACACUCUCAUCAGUCAUCAAUCAGCGAAACAGAGAAAUCAACAGUUUCAAAAUUCUCUGGAACCCAUUUCGAGCUUCACGCCUUCAAUUCUCAUGACACCCAAGACACAGAAGACAUCAACAGAGUAGAAGAAUUCAACCCAACACCCAUUUCAACCCAAGUUUUCGAUUCCUACUUCACCUGAUGAGAAGAAGUUUACGGGUGAGAAAGUUACAAAGGGAUAAAGUGUGUCCGAGUCAAUUUGAUGUUACAGACUUGCAGCUAACUGUUGUGUGUUAUAUAAUUGCAUAUUUUUUAGACACCAGAUAUGGCCAAGUUCCA